UACGUAGGGUGCAAGCGUUAAUCGGAAUUACUGGGCGUAAAGCGUGCGCAGGCGGUGAUGUAAGACAGUUGUGAAAUCCCCGGGCUCAACCUGGGAACUGCAUCUGUGACUGCAUUGCUGGAGUGCGGCAGAGGGGGACGGAAUUCCGCGUGUAGCAGUGAAAUGCGUAGAUAUGCGGAGGAACACCGAUGGCGAAGGCAAUCCCCUGGGCCUGCACUGACGCUCAUGCACGAAAGCGUGGGGAGCAAACAGG
rnacentral:rRNA from 1 species